rnacentral:rRNA from 1 species
UACAGAGGUCUCAAGCGUUGUUCGGAUUCAUUGGGCGUAAAGGGUGCGUAGGCGGCGCGGUAAGUCGGGUGUGAAAUCUCGGAGCUUAACUCCGAAACUGCAUUCGAUACUGCCGUGCUUGAGGACUGGAGAGGAGACUGGAAUUUACGGUGUAACGGUGAAAUGCGUAGAUAUCGUAAGGAAGACCAGUGGCGAAGGCGGGUCUCUGGACAGUUCCUGACGCUGAGGCACGAAGGCCAGGGGAGCAAACGGG